UCUGAGCUGUGGCGACUGUACAGGACCGUAAAGUGUCUAGUACCAUAAACUGUAUCUCUAUUCAUGCUGUAUUCACAUCUAAACAAAGCCUCUCUGCCGAUAAUUACAGGUUUAUGAGAUCUACAGUACUGUAACAACCAAAGUUUGAGGAAUUAAUCCAGAUCACAUUCUGUUUGAGUUCUGAACAUUUUUCUUGUACAAGUUAAUCUCUGGAGGAGGGAGGGUUUAAAGCUUUGACAUCUGAUGUGAUCUUGAUAAGUGUCUGUAAGAGAAGUCUGUUCAACAGAACAUAAGGAACAAACACAAUGAUGCUCCAUUCUUUUAUUCUGCUUUCUGCACUUACAUAUGCAACAUAUGGAAAUGAAAUUAAACCAACUAAAACAGAGGAGUUUGCUGUUGAGGGUUCAAGUGUUACAUUAUCCUGCAGUUAUUCAUCUGCAUAUUAUCUUCACUGGUACCGUCAGUAUCCCGGAUCAGCUCCUCAAUUCCUUGUGCUCAUCUCAGACAGUGCAAAAAAACCUGAGGAGUCUGAUGUAGAUUCCAGAUUCACUACUGAAAUCAGAAAAGAAAAAGAAAACCAUGUGGAUCUGAUCAUCUCCUCUGCUGCAGUAUCAGACUCUGCUCUGUAUUACUGUGCUCUGACGCCCACAGUCACAGGAAACACAAGAUCACUGUACAAAAACCUGCUUCUGCUCAGAGUGAGGAAUCAAUGGUCUACUACAGUUUGGGAGAAACGAGACUCUUGAAUCUUGAAUUAUAUUCAGAUCCCCUCCAGUAUGCCAAGUAGCAUCUUGUUGAUUCAAAUAAGCCACAUGCCACAAUUUUGAGCAUUUUUGAAAUACAUUAUUAUAAGUUAAAAGUGUUUGUCUAAAACAUGGCACAAAUCACCUAUUUGCAUGUACAAAAGUCAUAAAUACAAUCAAGUCACACCUUCAGAAAUAAUUACCCACCUUUUCAU